CCUUCAAUGUAGGCUCUUCCGAUCAUUGUGAAGCGAAAUUCACGAAGUAUUGGUUUGUUCGUUCACUAAUUGGGAACGUGAGCUGGGCUUAGACAGUAAUGAGACAGGUU
rnacentral:ncRNA from 1 species